rnacentral:rRNA from 1 species
UCUGCUGUGAAUCCCGAGGCUCAACCUCGGGCCUGCAGUGGUACGGGCAGACUAGAGUGCGGUAGGGGAGAUUGGAAUUCCUGGUGUAGCGGUGGAAUGCGCAGAUAUCAGGAGGAACACCGAUGGCGAAGGCAGAUCUCUGGGCCGUAACUGACGCUGAGGAGCGAAAGGGUGGGGAGCAAACAGGCUUAGAUACCCUGGUAGUCCACCCCGUAAACGUUGGGAACUAGUUGUGGGGUCCAUUCCACGGAUUCCGUGACGCAGCUAACGCAUUAAGUUCCCCGCCUGGGGAGUACGGCCGCAAGGCUAAAACUCAAAGGAAUUGACGGGGACCCGCACAAGCGGCGGAGCAUGCGGAUUAAUUCGAUGCAACGCGAAGAACCUUACCAAGGCUUGACAUAUACGAGAACGGGCCAGAAAUGGUCAACUCUUUGGACACUCGUAAACAGGUGGUGCAUGGUUGUCGUCAGCUCGUGUCGUGAGAUGUUGGGUUAAGUCCCGCAACGAGCGCAACCCUCGUUCUACGUUGCCAGCACGUAAUGGUGGGAACUCAUGGGAUACUGCCGGGGUCAACUCGGAGGAAGGUGGGGAUGACGUCAAAUCAUCAUGCCCCUUAUGUCUUGGGCUUCACGCAUGCUACAAUGGCCGGUACAAAGGGCUGCAAUACCGUGAGGUGGAGCGAAUCCCAAAAAGCCGGUCCCAGUUCGGAUUGAGGUCUGCAACUCGACCUCAUGAA